rnacentral:rRNA from 1 species
AUGUUUUGGCUGCCUUAGAGAAAGGUUUAAAAUACCUUAUCAUAGAAAGGAGCGCACACUCCGCUUUAAGAUGACAAUAAACAUCUCGGAUAAGUAGUAGUUAAGGUAAUAGCUUAACUAGCUUAAAAGUCCGUAGUCGUGGCUGAGAGGUCGAUCGACCACAUUGGGUCUGAAAAAAUCCCAAUACGUAUAGUACAGCAGUGAGGAAUUUUGGUCAAUGGCCUAGCGGCUGAACCAGCAAUUUGGAGGAAUGUAUAGCUUUUUGCUAAUCUAACUUUUCAUACUAUUUUAAGGUUAGAUAUCGAUUUUAUCGAAUAAAGUUCUAGAUAGAAUACUGAUAAUGACAAUUUUCUAUCUAUUUGUCUUGACCAAAUUACGUGCCAGCAGUCGCGGUAAUACGUAGAAGACUAGUGUUAUUCAUCUUUAAUAGGUUUAAAGGGUACCUAGACGGCAUUAUUAGCCCGAAACAGGGUACGGUAUUGCUAGAGUUUUAUAAGAGAAGGGGAGUAUUCAUGGAGUAGAGUCAAUAUUCGUUGAUACUAUGAGGACUGAUAGCGGCGAAAGCAACCUUCUAUCUAACAACUGACGUUGAGGGACGAAGGCCAGGGGAGCGAGCAGGAUUAGAUACCCUAGUAGUCCUGGCAGAGAAUUAUGAGUGUCAUAGGCUAGAAAUAUUUAGCCUAUAAAUGAAAGUGUAAGCACUCCACCUCAAGAGUAAUGCGGCAACGCAGGAACUGAAAUCAUUAGACCGUUUCUGAAACCAGUAGUGAAGUAUGUUAUUUAAUUCGAUAAUCCUCGAAAAACCUUACCACAAUUUGUAUGUUGAUUUUUUAAUGUUAAUGCAUUUAGAUCAAUACAAGCGUUGCACGGCUGUCUUCAGUUAAUGUCGUGAGAUUUUGGUUAGUUCCAUAAAAUUAACGGAAACCCUUGCU